GGGGUCAGAGGUCAGGGCCCUGGAGCCCCGCGAGCAGAGCCCCCCACGUGAACGCAGCGAGCAGGAGGAACCUUUUUGUUUUCAACCGCGCCAGCAUGCUCCCCUAUUGACCGAGCUGCUUUUCCUGGGCUGCUGGGGAGAGGAGCUCCAUUGCGGAUCUCCUAACCCCACCCCUCCUUCCACCGCCAACACACUUCCCAACUCAACCCUUCCUCUCAACUCUCAUCCCAGCCCCCCGUCCCGAGCUUGCAAUAACGCAGUAAAUUUGCUUUAACAACAAGUGGGGGUGGUUGAAUUUACUCCUCCCUCUCCUCUCUCCUCCCCCUCCUCUUGCUGCGGCUCUUGACACUACUACAAACCAGGGCUAUAAACAUAAACAUGUGUCACUGUAACAGGGCAGGUUCCCAGUAGCUGCAGCAGUGAAAGACAGUGAUUGGCUCCAGUGCUCCUACAAGGAUUUGGGCUGAAGCCAGGGGAACAGAACCAGAAGAGGAUUCCCUUUCCAGAGACCAUCAGGCUCCUCAUGUCUUGUCUCUCCUCUCUCCCCUCGUGGUGGCUCAGGAUUUCAGUAUGGCUGAGCAGCCCAUAGAGGCAGCUGACAUGGUCAACAAAUUUAUCAAAGAAACCCCCUGGCUUUUGAAGAAUAGUACUUUAUACAUCUGGAUCUGCACAUCAGGCAAAGCUCAGAAAUAUCCGUUUAUUCUUUUAAUCACGCGGAUGUGUCUAUUUUUGGAGGAACAAGGAAACACAUAAAUGCCUGGGUUGCAUUUAUGUUGUAGUUGCAAACACCGAACAGUUAAGAAGAUUUUGCUGAAUUUUGCAAAGCAGCCAACGAGCCGCCUUGGGAUCGUAGUAAUGCGACUGGGAGGACCCUUGCUCUCAUUUGGCAAUAUUUUGGAUAUCCUUGAAAAUGACACCAAAAUAUGCCUUAAUUUGACUAAGAAGAGGUUAAACCACAUUGAUUUUCAUCCAAAGUGAUUUUGUUAAAGCAGAUGCUUGACUUUGAUGGAAAAACUGGGAGUUGUGGAAGAUUCACCUAAACUACCAACCCAAAGCAUCACAAACCACUGAAACAGUCUGCAUCGUACAUCAGCACUUUCUUUUCAUUGUUAUUACGUAAAACCUCUGGAAGCACCUUGGGCGUUUGACAUUUUCUUUUCUUUGCUGCAGAAGGAAGCAAUCUGCUCCCUGGAAUUCUGACCUGUGGUGAACAGGACCCUGGCAAAGGCUUUGCUGGGGACUCUUGGACGAUCCCGCCUCCAAUCCAGUACGGUUAAUUGUGGAAAAGUGUACACAUUUCUGGCUUAUCUAUGCUUUGUUAUGGGUCUGACGUGAAACUACCUCCUCCCCACCCCACCCCCCAGCAGAGAACCGAAAUCCAGUUGAAUUGUUACAGUGUUUCAGAGCUGGAGCCUUGAACUGCUUCCCUGGUCAAAUAACUUUGUUUCUGGUUGUAAAAAGGCAUUUCAGGGGGGGGAAAAAAAAAGGAAAAUCGAGAGAAAUUCCAAACGUAAGUCCGCACUGGGGUGGUUCACGGGGCGGGUUUAACUUUGGAGCUCCUAGCCGGUCUUCUUCCCCACUCCUGUAAGGGAAAUACCAGGCUAUUCUGCACAUUUUCGCUUAAGCUCCAUUUUCCAAAAGGAAAAGGGGGUGGGGUAUAUCUCUUUCGGCUUGAUAAUGUUUUUUAAAUGCUUUUCUUUGAAAUGAUAAUAGCUGUAUCGGUAAAAUGCAAAUAAAGGAAAAAAUAGGCAGUAUUUCUUUAAAGGCGAA